rnacentral:rRNA from 1 species
UACGUAGGGGGCAAGCGUUAUUCGGAAUUACUGGGCGUAAAGCGUGCGCAGGCGGUUAUGUAAGACAGGUGUGAAAUGCCCGGGCUUAACCUGGGAACUGCAUUUGUGACUGCAUGGCUAGAGUUUGGCAGAGGGGGGUAGAAUUCCACGUGUAGCAGUGAAAUGCGUAGAGAUGUGGAGGAACACCGAUGGCGCAGGCAGCCCGCUGGGCUGAGAUCGACGCUCAGGCACGAAAGCGUGGGGAGCAAACAGG